UACGAAGGGGGCUAGCGUUGCUCGGAAUCACUGGGCGUAAAGCGCACGUAGGCGGCUUUUUAAGUCAGGGGUGAAAUCCUGGAGCUCAACUCCAGAACUGCCCUUUGAUACUGAGAAGCUUGAGUCCGGGAGAGGUGAGUGGAACUGCGAGUGUAGAGGGUGAAAUUCGUAGAUAUUCGCAAGAACACCAGUGGCGAAGGCGGCUCACUGGCCCG
rnacentral:rRNA from 1 species